CAAUAGCGUAUAUUAAAGUUGUUGCAGUUGAAAAGCUCGUAGUUGGAUUUCUGAUCGAGACAUCAGGUCGGGUCCGAGAGGAUCAUGUACUUUGAUUUUGUUUUGAUCAUCCUUGGGGAGAGCAUUUCUGGCAUUCAGUUGUCGGGAUUGGGAUCCUCAUCGUUUACUGUGAAAAAAUUAGAGUGUUCAAAGCAGGCCUCGGCCUCUGAAUACAUUAGCAUGGAAUAAUAAGAUAGGACUUUGGUGGUCUAUUUUGUUGGUUUGCACGCCAAAGUAAUGAUUAAUAGGGAUAGUUGGGGGUAUUCGUAUUCAAUUGUCAGAGGUGAAAUUCUUGGAUUUAUGGAAGACGAACUACUGCGAAAGCAUUUACCAAGGAUGUUUUCAUUAA
rnacentral:rRNA from 1 species